UGUAUAUAUAGUGGUCUAUAUACAACGCCAUUGAUAGUUUUACUAUUGAAAUUCAUAGAAAAAAAUAAUCGUGUAUGACUCAAUAAUGAAAAAAAUGCCAACUGAAAAAAUGGAUAGAUAUAAUACGUAAAAACACUUACGCCAUUUCGAGAAAAAUUAUGAAUUAGGUAUUUAACACCAUAGAACCUGUGAAUUGUGAUAAUAAACAUGACGUGACCCGUGGCUAGUGAGACCGACGAAUAAUAUUAAAAAUCACGAUGUUAAUGAAUAUUAAAUGUUGAAACGUCAACAUUUUCAGAAUCAUACACUUUACAAAAUAGUAGUGAAACUGACUAUUGUUCGACAGAAUAUUUAACAUUGAACAUAAAAAACGAACUUUCUACAUAUAUCCACUGAAGUGAACGGUGCAUACCUACUUUAUAUAAAAGGUUUCAAAUUACAACACUAAAUCUUAAAUUUUGAAAUGGACGAUAUCGAUGUUAUAGGCAUACUGACCGCAUAGGUACUGCAGAUUACGCUUUAAGUAUGGUUCACAAAAUCUCAAAAUAUUCAAAAUGUAAUCGUUUGUAGGAAUAUUUAUUAAUUAUUUUAAAAUAUCCAAAAAUUGGAAUCCAAAUAACAGCAUUAUUGAAAAACUAAACAAUAUGUUUUAAUGCUUGCGAAAUAAAUGUUGAAUAGAACAUAAGUUAUGGUCCUUAAAAAAGAUAAGAUGAAAAAUCAAAAAAAUAUCUGAAGGAUAUUUAUACGAUGAUAUAUAACAAAAAGGGAUAAUCCUUUUCAAUUCAAUCAAAAUAUUUAUACAUCAACCAAGGAAUUAUAAAGGCGUUGUAAAAUUAAAGUUUGCAGAAGGGUGUCAGGUUUAUACAAUUAUGUAAAAACAAGAAAAUAUUGUAGGCUCAGUGCCCACUGGUUAAACUGUCAUGCCGUAACUUUGUCCCUGAAGUUAAUAUAUUAAAGUACAAUUUAUGAUA